rnacentral:snRNA from 1 species
UCGCUCUGGUGUCCCAGCAUCGACGAAUAUGCGUUUCGCCUUUUGCUAAACGCAUCCGUGCUGGGGGACCUGAGCGAUAAUAUUGUAAGCAAGGAAUAUACAUGUUUUUUG